GUACGAGGACAGUGAAGAAGUAUGACGUCAUGAUCCCUGAGCGAACUGGAUUCUAUCCACAUUUGCUUUCAGACCUCUGUGAAUCCCGCUCAAAUCCAUACAAUAGAAAAUAUUCUGUC